GGGAGUGAAAUAGAACCUGAAACCCUGCACUUACAAGCUGUGGAAGCACAUUUCUUGUGUGACCGCGUACUUUUUGUAGAACGGGCCAACGAGUUACGUUAAGUAGCAAGGUUAAGCACUUAAGGUGCGGAGCCGUAGCGAAAGCGAGUUUUAACUGAGCGUUCAGUUACUUGACGUAGACCCGAACCCGGGCGACCUACCCAUGAGCAGGAUGAAGCGAAAGUAAAAUUUCGUGGAGGUCCGAACCCACGAGCGUUGAAAAGCUCGGGGAUGACUUGUGGGUAGCGGUGAAAUUCCAAGCGAGCCCGGAGAUAGCUGGUUC
rnacentral:rRNA from 1 species